rnacentral:lncRNA from 1 species
AAAAUGCAGUGCCUUUGACCAUAACCCUGUCUGUGUGCUUUGCAAGAUCUUAGGAAGUGAAAUAGUUCCCCAAAGUUAGGAAGUCCCUUGGGAGCUAUUUUUCCUUAGGGCACAGAAAACUGAAAUUCUGUGCUAGGGUCCCCUUAUUGACUCCCGACUCAAGAAAAGCCUUCCAUUUGGCAAAACUCGAUGAAGCAAAUGACUUUCUUGCCCUUUGGCAGAGACUGAACUCUGCCUGUACUUCUACAUUAGGAUUUACACUCUCUGAAGUCUGCAGAGGCUCUGAGUUUGCUGGUAUCUAUCUGACUUGGGAUUUUCUGGUCAGCUUCCAAGAGAGUGUUUAUUGUCCAUAGGUUAGGGUGCCUUUAAUUCAAAGGCUUUCCUAGCUCCCUGGUUUAUCUGUAAAUGAUUACUCCAUGCUCAGAUUUUUCAGCAACAGACCCUAAUGAAUGUAAAUAAAAUAAGCUCCAGUUUUCCAAUUAC